rnacentral:lncRNA from 1 species
UAUUUUAUUCUCUCUUUUUUUUCUUACAGGACCAAAGGUCCCUAAGCCAAAAUUGAAUGAAGACUAACCCAAAAGAAUCUCUAGAGGGCUAACUUAUAAGACCCUCGAUCUACAAUCGAUGAUAAUACCUCGAUGACUUAGAGGCGAGGCUAACUUAUAAGACCUCUGUAGAGCCCAAGUCACACGAGAAGUGGAGGAAGAUCCAAAGAGACCUCUAGAGGGCUAACUCACAAGAUCCUCCCAAGUCUCUCGUAUUACGAGCAGAGCACAAGUUGCCACUCACAAGAUGAGUAGAGCACAUGCUACCUCUCACGUUACGAAUAGAGUACAAGCUAUCACUUACAAGAUGAGCAGAGCACAUGUUAUGUCUUACAUUACGAGUAGAGCACAAGCUGUCACUCACA